CCCAAAUUUGGGGGGGGGGGGGCGUGACCCCCCGGACUGUAUGUAGAUCCUCCCCUGCACACGCCCACGCACAUUGAUGAUGGAGAGCUUGAGGCCUCGAGCUAUUUUCAUGGCGUUCGGCACCAAAGGCGACGUCUUUCCGAUUGCAGCUAUUGCUGCGGCUUUUGCGCUUGAUCAACCGCAUUAUAACGUUGUGUUCGUUACUCACUCGGCCCAUCAGAGUUUAGAUGUACAUUUGGGUGGCAAAGGUGUCGCCUUUAUGCCGAUAUCAACUCCUCCGGUGCUUUCGGUCCAUCAAGCCAGCACUUGCGCAGAUUCUGAGCUGCAGUCUUUUUCUACGCGCAAGAAGAUGAUUCGGACACAACAUAGGCAAGAGUGUUUAUCCGCAGAUAGUGAAAGUAUGCCGGGUGAUUUUAUUGUGAUCAAUUUCUUUGCCCUGGAAGGAUGGAGCCUUGCGGAACUAUAUCAAGUUCAAUGUGUUGUUGCUGCUCCUUAUGUUCUUCCUUAUAGCGCACCUUCAUCAUUUGAACGCCAAUUCAGACAUGAAUUUCCACUUUUGUUCAAGUACUUUCAAGAAGCGCCUGCUGAAAAGGUCAGCUGGAAAGAUGUUCAACAUUGGAUGUGGCCACUCUUUUCAGAAGAUUGGGGCUCAUGGAGAAGUGAUUGUUUGAAUCUAAGCCCUUUACCAUUCAUGGAUCCUGUAACAAAUCUUCCCAUGUGGCACAUGCGGGCGCAGUCACCCUUGUUAUUGUAUGGCUUCAGCAAGAAGAUUGUUGAAUGCCCAGGUUACUGGCCAUCAAAUGUUCAUGUAUGUGGCUUCUGGUUUCUGCCUGUGGAGUGGCAAUUUUCAUGUGAUAGAUGCAGGGAAAUAGUACCUUCACAUUCUCAUGAAUAUCCAAUCAAAAAGAGUCUACUAUGUGCUGAUCAUUCCGAUCUAUAUCAUUUCCUUGGGAAGACUUCUAGUCCAGGCUUGCCCAUAUUCAUUGGGUUAAGUUCUAUUGGAAGUAUGGGCUUUUUCCAAAAUCCUCGGGCAUUUCUUCUGGUGCUCAAAGCUGUUAUAGAUAGCACAGGUUACAGAUUUAUUCUUUUCUCAGCUGGAUACGAGCCUCUGGAUGCUGCCAUUCAGAUGACUGCUGAUGGAUCAUCAAAUUCAACUAAACUACAACAUUCGAUGUAUUGCAAGCAUCUUCUCUUCAAUGAUUGUCUAUUCUGUUUUUCUGGUACUCUUCCAUACAGCUGGCUCUUUCCAAGAUGUGCAGUUGUAAUUCAUCAUGGGGGCAGCGGAUCUACUGCUGCAGCACUAUAUGCUGGAACCCCACAGAUUAUAUGUCCUUUUAUUCUAGAUCAGUUUUACUGGGCUGAGAGACUUUACUGGCUCGGAGUUGCACCAGAACCACUAAGAAAAGCACAACUGGUUCCAGAUAGUGAAGAUGCUAGAAGCAUUAAGCAAGCUGGAGAUGCUCUAUCAGCAGCUAUUAAGCACGCUUUGUCCCCUGAAAUGAAAGAUCAAGCAUCUCGAGUCUCUGAGAGAAUUUCUUCAGAGGAAAAGAACAGAUAGGUAUCUGUAUAUGAGAUUUCUUAUUGUCUCAAUAUAAAGAUAUGGCUGAACCCUAAAGAGGAAACAUACUUCUCCUAGUCCUAGACGGCCCAUUCCAGAAGCAAUGUUGAUAUCUGAUAUAAUAUCUCCAUCUUCUACCUCUGCAUCCGUCAAAGUUAGAGCCUUUUGAAGCUUUCUAUGGGAGAACACCUCAACUUCAGUCAUGAAUGUGGCAGUCACAGGGCGAUGAUCUGAGAGUUUCAACUCACUUCUUUUGUAGCUCAAGAGCUUCAUACCAGUCCCAAAUCAGGAGUAAAAGUCAAUGAUUCUUCUUCAUUUAAUGGAUGGAUUUCUUGUUCUUCUUCCUCGGUGUCAGUGUCGGAUUCUGGUAAUAAUUCUUCUACAGUGGCACCGGCGUGUUCUGAUGCCUUGAAUCUCGAUGGAGAUGGAGGAUCGCUGUAGCUUUUGUAUUUGGGUUUUUGUGGUCGAAGUUUGUUUAGUGAGUCUCGAAUGAGAGAUUCCCAACUGGGAACCGGACGGUUGUCUUCAGCGCCAAAAAUGUUUCCUGCGUUUAGAGGAACAAUCUCCUGAAGGCUGCAAGAACAUAAACAAGUAUGUUAAACUAAUGAAAAGUUAUGAGGAAUGUUAAGUCAAAACUCAUUAAAAAAAAGUAAACAUGAACCUGUAAAGAUAGCACAAUUUUCUCAAGAUUAAGGUUUUUAAUGACCAUUUUUGGAUUUUAUUA